GCACUCGUAGCUCAGCUGGAUAGAGUACUCGGCUACGAACCGAGCGGUCACAGGUUCAAAUCCUGUCGAGUGCACCA
rnacentral:tRNA from 1 species